rnacentral:misc_RNA from 1 species
AAAGUCGUAACAAGGUCUCCGUUGGUGAACCAGCGGAGGGAUCAUUAAAGAGUUGCAAAACUCCCAACCAUUGUGAACUCAUCCUUCAGUGUUGCUUCGGCGGGCGUCCCCGGGGAGGGGAUGCAGCCCAAAGCCCCGAAAGGGGCGGCGGGCGCCCGCCGGAGGUACCGAACUCUUCUGUAUUAUAGUGGCACUUCUGAGUAAACAAGCAAAUAAGUCAAAACUUUCAACAACGGAUCUCUUGGUUCUG